AAGCGGGCUGCACGACCUGACGUCGCCACACGCCGGCCGGUAAGUGACCACCGCCCGCGCACAGCCUUUCCGUGACCAGCGUGCACAGCGCUGUAAUGAUUUUCCUUUUUUCUUAUUAUGUGUAUGCUGAGUUUUUUGCGAUGCCCUUCUAAGCCUGUUGAAGUAUGAAAUAUUCAGGCUUCUCUUUGGCAUGUCUUCCCUACUCCACUUUUCGCUGUCUCAGCCACGGAAAAAUCACACCUGGAGGGCGAGAAGUGGUCACGGGGCUGUCCUGGAGACCUGGGUGCCCGGAUGCCCCUGUCUCAAGUGACAUUUCCGUUUGCCUGCAAGAUGGAUUUGAACGUCAAACGGCUAAGUCGGACUUCUCGAUCUCUCCUGGCUCCAGAAAAUGGAGCGAUCAAAACACCGCUCUGGACAAUAAAACGUUCUUCGUUUUGUGGA